rnacentral:lncRNA from 1 species
UGGUCGUGAGGAGAGGUUUUUACUAGUAAGUCCCCGCUAUUGUGUGGAGGAGACGGAGACACGUGUCGGCUAUAGGCGCUCAAGGCAUAUUGGAGCAAAUGGCCACAACGGGAAAAGAGACAAGGUCGAUUUAGUCUUUUUAAUUUAUUCACUAUUUGUUUUAUGCUAUUUAUGUCACAUGAUAUUGUUAUUCAAAUCAUUGACUGAUACACUGAUUCUCAACCAAAUUAAAAUCAAAAUUUGAUUUGCUUGUUUGUUAA